rnacentral:rRNA from 1 species
GAGGCAGCAGUGGGGAAUAUUGGACAAUGGGCGAAAGCGUGAUCCAGCCAUGCCGCGUGUGUGAAGAAGGCUUUCGGGUUGUAAAGCACUUUCAGCGAGGAAGAAAGCCUCUGGGCCAAUACCCCAGAGGAAGGACAUCACUCGCAGAAGAAGCACCGGCUAACUCCGUGCCAGCAGCCGCGGUAAUACGGAGGGUGCGAGCGUUAAUCGGAAUUACUGGGCGUAAAGCGCGCGUAGGUGGCUUGGCACGCCGGUUGUGAAAGCCCCGGGCUCAACCUGGGAACUGCAUCCGGAACGGCCAGGCUAGAGUGCAGGAGAGGAAGGUAGAAUUCCCGGUGUAGCGGUGAAAUGCGUAGAGAUCGGGAGGAAUACCAGUGGCGAAGGCGGCCUUCUGGCCUGACACUGACACUGAGGUGCGAAAGCGUGGGUAGCAAACAGGAUUAGAUACCCUGGUAGUCCACGCCGUAAACGAUGUCGACUAGCCGUUGGGACCUUUAAGGACUUAGUGGCGCAGUUAACGCGAUAAGUCGACCGCCUGGGGAGUACGGCCGCAAGGUUAAAACUCAAAUGAAUUGACGGGGGCCCGCACAAGCGGUGGAGCAUGUGGUUUAAUUCGAUGCAACGCGAAGAACCUUACCUACCCUUGACAUCCAGAGAAGUGGCAGAGAUG